CGCCACGCCCGCUCAAGAAACUUAAAGGAAUGACGGGGGCCCGCACAAGCGGCGGAGCAUGUGGAUUAAUUCGAUGCAACGCGAAGAACCUUACCUGGGUUUGACAUAUACCGGAAAGCUGCAGAGAUGUGGCCCCCCUUGUGGUCGGUAUACAGGUGGUGCAUGGCUGUCGUCAGCUCGUGUCGUGAGAUGUUGGGUUAAGUCCCGCAACGAGCGCAACCCUAUCUUAUGUUGCCAGCACGUUAUGGUGGGGACUCGUAAGAGACUGCCGGGGUCAACUCGGAGGAAGGUGGGGACGACGUCAAGUCAUCAUGCCCCUUAUGUCCAGGGCUUCACACAUGCUACAAUGGCCAGUACAGAGGGCUGCGAGACCGUGAGGUGGAGCGAAUCCCUUAAAGCUGGUCUCAGUUCGGAUCGGGGUCUGCAACUCGACCCCGUGAAGUCGGAGUCGCUAGUAAUCGCAGAUCAGCAACGCUGCGGUGAAUACGUUCCCGGGCCUU
rnacentral:rRNA from 1 species